ensembl:lncRNA
AUAUGGUCCUUCACAGUGAAAGAGAAGAGAAGCAGGAGAGGCAGUGUCGGAGGCAGAGUGAGGUUUAAAGAUGCUACACUGCUGGCUUUGAAGAUGGAGGAAGGGACCAUGAGGCAAGAGAUGUGCAUGGCUUCUGGAAACUGGGAAUGCUAAGGAAACAGAGUCCUCUCCUCUGGAGCCUCCAGAAAGAAACCUGACUAGCCAACACCUUGACUUCAGCCCACUGAGACCUGUUUCAGACUUCUGACCUCCAGAACUGUAAGAAGCUCUAUGCAGUCAGCAAAAACAAGACCAGGAGCUGACUGUGACUCUGAUCAUGAACUCCUUAUUGCCAAAUUCAGACUUAAAUUGAAGAAAGCAGGAAAACCACUAGACCAUCCAGGUACAACCUAAAUCAAAUCCCCUAUACAGUAGAAGUGACAAAUAGAGUCAAAGGAUUAGAUCUGACAGAGUGCCUGAAGAACUAUGGAUGGAGGUUCUUGACAUAGUACAGGAGGCAGUGAUCAAGACCAUUCCCAAGAAAAAGCAAUGCAAAAAGGCAAAAUGGUUGACUGAGGAGGCCUUACAAAUAGCUGAGAAAAGAAGAGAAGUGAAAGGCAAGGAGAAAAGGAAAGAUACCCAUUUGAAUGCAGAGUUCCAAAGAAUAGCACGGAGAGAUAAGAAAGGCUUCCUCAGUGGUCAAUGCAAAAAAAUAGAGGAAAACAAUAGAAUGGGAAAGACUAGAGAUCUCUUCAAGAAAACUAGAGAUACCAAGUUAACGUUUCAGGCAAAAAUGGGCAGAAUAAAGGAUGGACCUAACCAAAGCUUAAGAUAUUAAGAAGAAGUGGCAAGAAUACAAAGAACUAAACAAAAAAGGUCUUCAUGACCCAGAUAACCAUGAUGUUGUGAUCAUUCACCUAGAACCAGACAUUCUGGAAUGGGAAGUCAAGUGGGCCUUAGGAAGCGUCACUAUGAACAAAGCUAGUGGAGGUGAUGGAAUUCCAGUUGAGCUAUUUCAAAUCCUAAAAGAUGAUGCUGAGAAAGUGCUGCACUCAAUAUGCCAGCAAAUUUGGAAAACUCAGCAGUGGCCACAGGACUGGAAAAAGUCAGUUUUCAUCCCAAUCCCAAAGAAAGGCAAUGCCAAAGAAUGCUCAAACUACCGUACAAUUGCACUCAUCUCACACACUAGCAAAGUAAUGCUCAAAAUUCUUCAAGCCAGGUUUCAACAGUACAUGAACCAUGAACUUCCAGAUGUUCAAGCUGGAUUUAGAAAAGGCAGAGGAACCAGAGAUCAAAUUGCCAACAUCUGUUGGAUCAUUGAAGAAGCAAGAGAGUUCCAGAAUAACAUCUACUUCUGCUUUAUUCACUAUACCAAAGCCUUUGACUGUGUGGAUCAUAGCAAAUACCAGACCACAUUACCCGCCUCCUGAGAAAUCUGUA